UUAAAUCAUUAAAUUAAAAAGAUUUGGCGGUAUUUUAGAAAGUUAGAGGAACCUGUAUAGUAAUUGAUAAUCCACAAUAAGAUAUACUUAAAAGUUUAUGUAUUGCUGUUUAAAGAUUAUUAAUAAAUAAGUUUUUAAAUUUUUAUUAUAAAUAAAUUCAAGUCAAAAUAUAAUUUAGUUAAGAUAUGGGUUACAAUUUUAUUUUAAAAAUGGAUUUAAUAGUAA
rnacentral:rRNA from 1 species